UAAUGCCUAAAAGUUUCUAAGUGCAGAGAGUUCUAAGUCUAAAAGAAUUCCCUUUGCCUCUUCAACCUCGACGUCCUUAUAUACUCCUCCUAGAGGCGGUUUGUUCUUUCCCUUUCUACCCUCGGUCGAGUUUAUCGAUUCGCGGAAAUAUCUCAUUUUUCUUCGAUCUUCUUGUUUAUCUUUGGAAACUUCACAUUUAUCCUCCGAACUUGACAUUUAUCUUCUCCUGCAUAACAAAAUAUAAACCGUCAUAACGAUUGGGCUUGAUUUGGUAUAAAAUCGUAAAUGGGCUCUUAGUCGCGUUAUGGGUCCUUUCGGGCUGUUUUUCGACUUAGGCAUUUUUAUGAUUUUAUAAAAAGAGCGCUUUCGAAAUGACGUCGAUUCCAAAGAAAAUUCACUUUCCCGUAUAGCGUAGGCAAUUCGAGGUGUUCAGCUAACUGUUGCCAUUUUAUACGAUCAAUCCGAAUGUUAUUCCAGAGAACGAGUUCUUGUGGUUUUUAAAUCGUAAAGUUCCAACGGUGACUCCGAUCGAGAUGAAACAAGGGAAGGUUUGUUCUAAUCCCAAAGGAGGGAGCUGCGAGGAUGAGAUGUAGACAGCACGAUCGUUCUAGCUCGGCAGAUGGCCGAGCUGGUCGCGUGUUCGAUCCAGCUCGGCCAUCCGCCGAGCUGGUCGCCUGUUCGAUCCAGCUCGGCCAUCCGCCGAGCUGGUCGCAUGGUCGAUCCAGCUCGGCCAUCUUGGCCAUCCGCCGAGCUCGACAGGUUCAGCUCGGCGGAUGGCCGAGCUGGUCGUUUUGGUCGAUCCAGCUCGGCCAUCCGCCGAGCUGGACGGUGUCCACCCUUUAAUAAAAUAGGCAUAACGUAUGCUACAGGAUUCUGAUUGACCUCAGACCGGUGGCAUUGGAAAGCUAACUCAAAAAUCUAUCUUGUGUCAAAAGAUGGACCCAAUAAAACCAUGGGAAGAUCUUCAUCCAUAGCUAAACAUCUGACGCGGAUGUGCAGUUCUGCACCUCAAAAGGUCCGAAUGAACGAGUUGGACUGCGUGUUUGGUUCCGUGAUCCAUUUCUCUCGAUUCUUUUUCUCAGGAGCUUUUGUCGAGAGUGUGUUGAGAAAGCUUUCGUACAGAAACGUAAUUUUUGGAUGUUUAUUUCGAGAUAACCGUUUUUGAUCCCAACAAUGUUUGCGUCUUGUUGUCGAUAAAAUAUAUCAAUAACUCGUCGUAUAACCUUUUCAAUAAAAAUUAUACGAAAUUUAUAUUGCGAGAAAUAUUUUCCAGGGACUUUUAGACAUUGAUUCCGUUGUGACCGAUUUUGACCCGAACACGGUCGUUCAUCGCUUUGUUGGCUUCGUCUUGCUGGGCGAAACGUGCCAUGAUUGCUUGUAGCAUCUCGGUCACGUUCUGUGUAACGGCGACCCGUGUAGAGGCGACCGAAGAUAGUAUUAUUGUAUCUAUUUAAUUUAACCGAAUAGAGAUUGACCCCAUAAAAGAAUCUGUUUGUUUUUGGCCCCAUAAAAAACAAUUCACACCAAUGAGAGCUAUUGAUCUGUCUCUCUCCCAUAAUAUCAUCUUCUCUCAGUCGUGCUCUUGGUUUGUAUAGUGCCGCAGACAAGGUGGAGAAGUUCACUGAGUCAUAAUAACUAAAGUGGUGGCCAUGAAAUUUUUUUUUCAGAUCUAACGCGUCAUCUCCAUCAUCCAUUUGCUCUUUCUUCUUAUCUGAGUUACAACCAAGAAGUUAAAAAAAAAACAAAUCAGACAUCUUGUAGUCUUAAUAAUCACAAGUUAACAGAAAAAAGAGACAUUUGAUCCAUAAAGUUCACAACUUUCUCAUGUAUAGAACCAAAAAAGAGAAGAGAGCUGUGCAACAUUAGCACCAUCAUUGAGCGUAAAAACUUACACCAGCCUCUCUCAGGAUGAAGAAGAACUUAAAAAUUAAUUAAUUUGCAUCUUCAUUUCCUCCGGUGAGACUGUCAAUGAAAUCAAAGAGAAAGAGAGUCUAUCAGUGAUAUUGAGAACAUCCAAAUCAUAUAUAUAUAUAUAUAUGUAUAUAUUAUGGUGCUAAGUUUGGAAUCCUCCACAACCUUAACCGUAAUCUCUGUCUCCUCCAUCUCACAUCGGACCUCCGUUUUCGAGACCCAUCUGACUGGUUCACCGACAAUCUUCAAACUGAAAGUGAUCACAACCAGAUUGUGGAUCCCCAAACCCCUUGUCGAAUGUUGAAAUCCCAUUCCAAAAAUUUCUUGUCCCCGUUUUACCCAUCCACGCUUCCACUGACCACAACCACAAAGUUCAAGACUCCAUCAUCCACAAAACACCAGAUCACAGAAAUCAUGUCCACACUACUCCUUCAUGUGACUCAUUCGUCCACAAAUCACUCAUCCACAUCAUGCAUGUCCAUACAUCAUUUUCCCAGCUACUAUGUAUGCUUUUGUAACAUUUGUGGUUUCUAGAUCUUUCACAUUAUGGAACAUUAUGUAUAUUUAUCAAAUUAAGUUAUUUAUUAUUUUACAUACUCA